rnacentral:tRNA from 3 species
CGGGGUGUGGCGCAGUUGGUAGCGCGCCUGCUUUGGGAGCAGGAGGUCCGCAGUUCGAGUCUGCGCACCCCGACCA